GGAGUCCUACGGGGGGCAGCAGUGGGGAAUAUUGGGCAAUGGGCGCAAGCCUGACCCAGCAACGCCGCGUGAAGGAAGAAGGCUUUCGGGUUGUAAACUUCUUUUGACAGGGAAGAGCAGAAGACGGUACCUGUCGAAUAAGCCACGGCUAACUACGCGCCAGCAGCCGCGGUAAUACGUAGGUGGCAAGCGUUGUCCGGAUUUACUGGGUGUAAAGGGCGUGCAGCCGGGAAGACAAGUCAGAUGUGAAAUCCCGCGGCUCAACCGCGGAGCUGCAUUUGAAACUGUUUUUCUUGAGUACCGGG
rnacentral:rRNA from 1 species